rnacentral:misc_RNA from 1 species
GAAAUGCGAUAAGUAAUGUGAAUUCCAGAAUUCCGUGAAUCAUCGAAUCUUUGAACGCACAUUGCGCCCUCUGGCAUUCCGGGGGGCAUGCCUGUCCGAGCGUCAUUACGCACCCUCAAGCCCGGCUUGUGUGAUGGGCCCCGGCGUCUCGUUCGCGAGACGGGCCCGAAAGGCAGCGGCGGCGUCGACCCGAUGAGCCCGAGCGUAUGGGGACUUCUGUCACACGUUCGCGGUGCGGACCGGCGCCUGCUUGACUUUUCUGAUUAUCCAGGUUGACCUCGGAUCAGGUAGGGAUACCCGCUGAACUUAAGC